rnacentral:rRNA from 1 species
AGCGUACGCUGGCGGCACGCCUAACACAUUGCAAGUUCGAACGAAGUAGCAAUACUUAGUGGCAGACGGGUGAGUAACAUGUAGGUAUCUGCCCUUUUGGCCUGGAAUAACACGAGGAAACUUGUGCUAAUACCGGAUAAGUCUUUUACGGAGAAAGCUUUAUGCACCAUUGGAUGAGCCUGCACUUGAUUAGUUUGUUGGUGGGGUAAUGGCCUACCAAGACUGUGAUCAAUAGCUGAUUUGAGAGGAUGAUCAGCCACAUUGGGACUGAGACACGGCCCAAACUCCUACGGGAGGCAGCAGUGGGGAAUCUUGCACAAUGGAGGAAACUCUGAUGCAGCGAUGCCGCGUGAGUGAAGAAGGCCCUUGGGUUGUAAAGCUCUUUCGUCGGGGAAGAAAAUGACUGUACCCGAAUAAGAAGGUCCGGCUAACUUCGUGCCAGCAGCCGCGGUAAUACGAAGGGACCUAGCGUAGUUCGGAAUUACUGGGCUUAAAGAGUUCGUAGGUGGUUGAAAAAGUUAGUGGUGAAAUCCCAGAGCUUAACUCUGGAACUGCCAUUAAAACUUUUCAGCUAGAGUAUGAUAGAGGAAAGCAGAAUUUCUAGUGUAGAGGUGAAAUUCGUAGAUAUUAGAAAGAAUACCAAUUGCGAAGGCAGCUUUCUGGAUCAUUACUGACACUGAGGAACGAAAGCAUGGGUAGCGAAGAGGAUUAGAUACCCUCGUAGUCCAUGCCGUAAACGAUGUGUGUUAGACGUUGGAAAUUUAUUUUCAGUGUCGCAGGGAAACCGAUAAACACACCGCCUGGGGAGUACGACCGCAAGGUUAAAACUCAAAUGAAUUGACGGGGACCCGCACAAGUAGUGGAGCAUGUGGUUUAAUUCGAAGAUACGCGCAGAACCUUACCAACACUUGACAUGUUCGUCGCGACUCUAAGAGAUUAGAGUUUUCGGUUCGGCCGGACGAAACACAGGUGCUGCAUGGCUGUCGUCAGCUCGUGUCGUGAGAUGUUGGGUUAAGUCCCGCAACGAGCGCAACCCUCACUUUUAGUUGCCAUCAUUAAGUUGGGCACUCUGAAAGAACUGCCAGUGAUAAGCUGGAGGAAGGUGGGGAUGACGUCAAGUCCUCAUGGCCCUUACGUGUUGGGCUACACACGUGCUACAAUGGUAUCUACAACAGGAAGCAAGACUGCGAAGUUAAGCAAAUCCCUAAAAGAUACCUCAGUUCGGAUUGCACUCUGCAACUCGAGUGCAUGAAGCUGGAAUUACUAGUAAUCGUGGAUCAGCGUGCCACGGUGAAUGCGUUCCCGGGUCU